rnacentral:rRNA from 1 species
AUGGAGGAAGUAGAGAGGAAGCCCCAUUCCCUUAAACUCUCAGAAGCAGAGAAGAAGGGAGUCAAGCUAGGAAGAAGGAAUGCAAACCAUACGGGAAUAGAGAAAAUGCAAGCAGUCGGCAAGGUGAUGUCUGAUAGGCCAGCGAGGGUGGAUGCGCUGGUCAGUACUUUGGGAAGGAUUUGGGGUCCGUUCAAGGGGAUCGAGUGUAAAGAUCUUGGUAAAUUCAACCCGGCCAAGGCCCUGGAUGAAUACGAAUUCAGGUACAUACCAAUAUGGGUUAGAGUUUAUCAUAUUGCUAUGGGGUGGAUGAGUAGAGAAUCUGGAGAAGAAAUAGGAAAAGAAAUAGGUGAAGUACUCGACGUAGAUGUCGAUGAUUGCGGCAUGGCCAUGGGGGAGUACAUGAGAAUCAAAGUUAGACUAGACAUCAGGAAACCACUGAUGAGGGGAAUCACGAAUUUUGAGGAUGACGACGAAGAAGGUGAGGAGGAGGGAAAUGACAAUAUAAUUGAAGACGUGCAAGAAGAGAAUGAAAAUGAGGGGAAAAAGAAGGGACGUGUGGUUAUUUUUAAGUACGAACACCUACCAGACUUUUGCUACAUUUGUGGCAUA